rnacentral:lncRNA from 1 species
UAAAUAAAAAGAAAAUAUAAUGGAAAUAAUAAUAUAAAACUAAUUGAUUUAAAGAUAUAGCUAUAAUAAUAUGUACAUAAAUUGGAAAUAAAUGUAAAAGGGAGGACUACGCGCGGAUGAGAUGGAGGGACUGAAUGGGAAAUAAUUCCCACCCUCCAAAACGCACAGUUCCAUCAGAGACUAAAAUCGAAGCCGGGAUAAAUUAUAGGGCAAAAUUAAAAAAGAAAAAAAACUUGAUUGUAAAUAAUAAAAAAGGUGGAAGGGCCAUGUACAGCCCAAUAUUUUGCCAGCCCAAUAUUUUGCCCAGCCCAAAACCCAUUACAAACUAAAAAACCCAAACAACAAAAAAAACCAGCCCAAUAAGCCUAAGCCUAAACCUAACCCUAGCCCAGAAAUCCAAAUCAGAAACAAAUUUUUCAAACCCUAGGUGCACCGGACCUAGGGUUCUCUGCCUAGCGCCGCACGUCCCAUCGGCC